CAGACUUGUUGCAUGUAACGAAAUCGCUAUCUGCUUUGGGUGAUGUCAUGUCUUCGUUAACCUCGAAGAAGGAGAUGAUACCUUAUGAGAACUAUAGACUCACAAGACUACUCGAAAAUUCAAUAAGAGGAAGCUCAAAAACCUUGUUGAUCGUAAAUGUCUUUCCCAAUACUUCUAAUCUGCCAAGACACUAUCAGCUCUUACUUUCUCUGCAAGAACUCGG